rnacentral:rRNA from 1 species
AGAGUUUGAUCCUGGCUCAGAUUGAACGCUGGCGGGAUGCUUUACACAUGCAAGUCGGACGGCAGCACGGGCUUCGGCCUGGUGGCGAGUGGCGAACGGGUGAGUAAUGUAUCGGAACGUGCCCAGUAGCGGGGGAUAACUACGCGAAAGCGUGGCUAAUACCGCAUACGCCCUACGGGGGAAAGCGGGGGACCUUCGGGCCUCGCACUAUUGGAGCGGCCGAUAUCGGAUUAGCUAGUUGGUGGGGUAACGGCCUACCAAGGCGACGAUCCGUAGCUGGUUUGAGAGGACGACCAGCCACACUGGGACUGAGACACGGCCCAGACUCCUACGGGAGGCAGCAGUGGGGAAUUUUGGACAAUGGGGGCAACCCUGAUCCAGCCAUCCCGCGUGUGCGAUGAAGGCCUGGUUGUAAGCACUUUGGUCAGGAAAGAAACGGCACGGGCUAAUAUCCUGUGCAACUGACGGUACCUGCAGAAUAAGCACCGGCUAACUACGUGCCAGCAGCCGCGGUAAUACGUAGGGUGCAAGCGUUAAUCGGAAUUACUGGGCGUAAAGCGUGCGCAGGCGGUUCGGAAAGAAAGAUGUGAAAUCCCAGGGCUUAACCUUGGAACUGCAUUUUUAACUACCGGGCUAGAGUGUGUCAGAGGGAGGUGGAAUUCCGCGUGUAGCAGUGAAAUGCGUAGAUAUGCGGAGGAACACCGAUGGCGAAGGCAGCCUCCUGGGAUAACACUGACGCUCAUGCACGAAAGUGUGGGGAGCAAACAGGAUUAGAUACCCUGGUAGUCCACGCCCUAAACGAUGUCAACUAGCUGUUGGGGCCUUCGGGCCUUGGUAGCGCAGCUAACGCGUGAAGUUGACCGCCUGGGGAGUACGGUCGCAAGAUUAAAACUCAAAGGAAUUGACGGGGACCCGCACAAGCGGUGGAUGAUGUGGAUUAAUUCGAUGCAACGCGAAAAACCUUACCUACCCUUGACAUGUCUGGAAUCCCGAAGAGAUUUGGGAGUGCUCGCAAGAGAACCGGAACACAGGUGCUGCAUGGCUGUCGUCAGCUCGUGUCGUGAGAUGUUGGGUUAAGUCCCGCAACGAGCGCAACCCUUGUCAUUAGUUGCUACGAAAGGGCACUCUAAUGAGACUGCCGGUGACAAACCGGAGGAAGGUGGGGAUGACGUCAAGUCCUCAUGGCCCUUAUGGGUAGGGCUUCACACGUCAUACAAUGGUCGGGACAGAGGGUUGCCAACCCGCGAGGGGGAGCCAAUCCCAGAAACCCGGUCGUAGUCCGGAUCGCAGUCUGCAACUCGACUGCGUGAAGUCGGAAUCGCUAGUAAUCGCGGAUCAGCAUGUCGCGGUGAAUACGUUCCCGGGUCUUGUACACACCGCCCGUCACACCAUGGGAGUGGGUUUUACCAGAAGUAGUUAGCCUAACCGCAAGGGGGGCGAUUACCACGGUAGGAUUCAUGACUGGGGUGAAGUCGUAACAAGGUAGCCGUAUCGGAAGGUGCGGCUG